rnacentral:rRNA from 1 species
UACGUAGGGAGCAAGCGUUGUUCGGAUUUACUGGGCGUAAAGGGCGCGUAGGCGGCAAAUUAAGUCAGCUGUGAAAUCUCCGAGCUUAACUCGGAACGGUCAGCUGAUACUGAUCUGCUAGAGUGCGGAAGGGGCAAUCGGAAUUCUUGGUGUAGCGGUGAAAUGCGCAGAUAUCAGGAGGAACACCGGUGGCGAAGGCGGGUCUCUGGGCCGAUACUGACGCUGAGGAGCGAAAGCGUGGGGAGCGAACAGG